UACGUAGGGGGCGAGCGUUGUCCGGAAUUACUGGGCGUAAAGGGUGCGUAGGCGGCGCUCUAAGUCAGAUGUGAAAUAUCCAUGCUUAACGUGGAGGGUGCAUUUGAAACUGGAGCACUUGAGUGCAGGAGAGGAAAGUGGAAUUCCUAGUGUAGCGGUGAAAUGCGUAGAUAUUAGGAGGAACACCAGUGGCGAAGGCGACUUUCUGGACUGUAACUGACGCUGAGGCACGAAAGCGUGGGGAGCAAACAGG
rnacentral:rRNA from 1 species